ACACAUGCAAGUCGAGCGGGGAACGGAUGGUAGCUUGCUACUGUUUGUUUCUAGCGGCGGACGGGUGAGUAACGCGUGAGCAACCUGCCUUUAUCAGGGGGAUAACGCAUCGAAAGAUGUGCUAAUACCGCGUAAGACCACAGCUUCACAUGGAGCGGGGGUCAAAGGAGCAAUCCGGAUAAAGAUGGGCUCGCGUCCGAUUAGCUAGUUGGUGAGAUAACAGCCCACCAAGGCGACGAUCGGUAGCCGACCUGAGAGGGUGAUCGGCCACAUUGGAACUGAGAGACGGUCCAGACUCCUACGGGAGGCAGCAGUGGGGAAUAUUGGGCAAUGGGCGAAAGCCUGACCCAGCAACGCCGCGUGAGGGAAGAAGGGUUUCGGCUCGUAAACCUCUGUCCUAUGGGACGAAGGAAGUGACGGUACCAUAGGAGGAAGCCCCGGCUAACUACGUGCCAGCAGCCGCGGUAAUACGUAGGGGGCGAGCGUUGUCCGGAAUGAUUGGGCGUAAAGGGCGCGUAGGCGGCCUGCUAAGUCUGGAGUGAAAGUCCUGCUUUCAAGGUGGGAAUUGCUUUGGAUACUGGUGGGCUGGAGUGCAGGAGAGGAAAGCGGAAUUACCGGUGUAGCGGUGAAAUGCGUAGAGAUCGGUAGGAACACCAGUGGCGAAGGCGGCUUUCUGGACUGAAACUGACGCUGAGGCGCGAAAGCGUGGGGAGCAAACAGGAUUAGAUACCCUGGUAGUCCACGCGGUAAACGAUGAAUGCUAGGUGUAGGAGGUAUCGACCCCUUCUGUGCCGCA
rnacentral:rRNA from 1 species